rfam:Larimichthys crocea isolate SSNF unplaced genomic scaffold scaffold23, whole genome shotgun sequence.
ACCAGGAUGGCCGAGUGGUUAAGGCGUUGGACUUAAGAUCCAAUGGGCAAAUGCCCACGUGGGUUCAAACCCCACUCCUGGUA